rnacentral:rRNA from 1 species
CCCUUAGAUGUUCUGGGCUGCACGCGCGCUACACUGAAGCGUUCAACGAGUAUUCACCUUGCCCGGGAGGGUUGGGUAAUCUUUUGAAAACGCUUCGUGAUGGGGAUAGAUUAUUGCAAUUAUUAAUCUUCAACGAGGAAUUCCUAGUAAGCGCGAGUCAUCAGCUCGUGCUGAUUACGUCCCUGCCCUUUGUACACACCGCCCGUCGCUCCUACCGCUUGAGUGAUCCGGUGAAUAAUUCGGACUGCAGCACUGCUUGGUCUCCAGGCUUUGCAGCGGAAAGUUUAGUGAACCUUAUCACUUAGAGGAAGGAGAAGUCGUAACA